UGAUUGUGGUGAAGUGGAUGAUCCUAUGCUGCCGAGAAAAGCCUCUAGUGAGUGUUGUGGCGGCCCGUACCCUAAACCGACUCAGGUGGUCAGGUAGAGAAUACCAAGGCGAUCGGGUGAACUGUGGUUAAGGAACUCGGCAAAUUGCCCCCGUAACUUCGGGAGAAGGGGGACCUCUGCUGGUGAUGGGCUUUACGUUCUGAGCUGGUGGGGGUCGCAGUGGCCAGGGGGAAGCGACUGUUUACUAAAAACACAGGUCCGUGCGAAGUCGUAAGACGAUGUAUACGGACUGACGCCUGCCCGGUGCCGGAACGUUAAGGGGACCGCUUAGCCAACGCGAGUUGGCGAAGGUGAGAACUUAAGCGCCGGUAAACGGCGGUGGUAACUAUAACCAUCCUAAGGUAGCGAAAUUCCUUGUCGGGUAAGUUCCGACCUGCACGAAUGGCGUAACGACUUCCCCGCUGUCUCAACCACAGACCCGGCGAAAUUGCACUACGAGUAAAGAUGCUCGUUUCGCGCAGCAGGACGGAAAGACCCCGGGACCUUCACUACAGCUUGACAUUGGCGUUUGGAACGUCUUGUGUAGGAUAGGUGGGAGACUGGGAAGCUGUCACGCUAGUGAUGGUGGAGUCAUUGGUGAAAUACCACUCUGGUCGUUUUGAACGUCUAACUCUGGUCCGUGAUCCGGAUCGGGGACAGUGUCUGGUGGGUAGUUUAACUGGGGCGGUUGCCUCCUAAAGAGUAACGGAGGCGCCCAAAGGUUCCCUCAGCCUGGUUGGCAAUCAGGUGUUGAGUGUAAGUGCACAAGGGAGCUUGACUGUGAGACUGACAGGUCGAGCAGGAGCGAAAGCUGGGACUAGUGAUCCGGCAUCGGCGUGUGGAAGCGGUGUCGCUCAACGGCUAAAAGGUACCCCGGGGAUAACAGGCUGAUCUUCCCCAAGAGUCCAUAUCGACGGGAUGGUUUGGCACCUCGAUGUCGGCUCGUCGCAUCCUGGGGCUGGAGUAGUCCCAAGGGUUGGGCUGUUCGCCCAUUAAAGCGGUACGCGAGCUGGGUUUAGAACGUCGCGAGACAGUUCGGUCCCUAUCCGCUGCGCGCGCAGGAGACUUGAAGGGGGCUGUCCCUAGUACGAGAGGACCGGGACGGACGAACCUCUGGUGUGCCAGUUGUACCGCCAGGUGCACGGCUGGUUGGCUACGUUCGGAAGGGAUAACCGCUGAAAGCAUCUAAGCGGGAAGCUCGCCUUGAGAUGAGGUCUCCCACCCCGUGAGGGGGUAAGGCUCCCGGUAGAUCACCGGGUUGAUAGGCCGGAGGUGGAAGCACGGUAACGUGUGGAGCUGACCGGUACUAAUAGGCCGAGGACUUGAUC
rnacentral:rRNA from 1 species